rnacentral:lncRNA from 1 species
GGGGCCUGAUGGGUUGCCAUGGUGCCACGGGGGCCGGGAAGAUGUGCCCGAGCCGCCUCAGUUUUAAAUCCGCAUGACAGCGUUUCAGCUGAGCUGCUGCACUGUUGCCAUGGCAACCAAUGGGUGAAAAUCACGGCGGAAAUCUGUAAUUAUUACAAGCGAGGCAGUGACUUACCCACACUCAGGGCAUCAGAACGACUCAGGCCACGGUCUGAGCUGCGGCACCCAUGUCACACUGCGUGCCCUGCGGGUGCAGAUGGGCGACACCACAUCUCUGCGUGGUGCCUUCUGAGGCAGAGGCCCGGGACAGAGGCCCAGGCCUGUGGCCGUGCCCACCGAGGGAGCAGCCCAAUGCCCCCACAGCUGCACUCAGGUUGCGGUGCCGCGAAGGGGCUGAGGCACAGAGGGGGUACCAGCAGCAGGCCACAGAGGAUGCAAUGUGUAUGGGAAGCAGCUGAGAUCCCUGGUGAUUCACAGACCCUACAACUGACGCUAGUUCAUGCUGCAGAUACAGCAACAUACCUUGUUCUGUCACCUUCUCUCAGCAGUGCUUGUUUGGCUGGGAUGGAUGCUGUGGUAGUUAGCGUGCUCAAACACAAGUACAACAAGGGACAAAGUCAUUCAGGCAGAGCAGACACACCUUGCAGUCUCCCUCCACUGACAUAUCAUCCGGAUACAGGCAGUUUACACACUGACAGAAGUGAUGCCAGCGUCCACACACCCCAUUUGCACCCACUGCAGGAGAAGGUGGCUUGGAGUCACUGCGGGGUUCUCCGGAGCUCUGCUGCGCUCAGAAGGCCAUUGGCCACCACGCCAGCACACCACUACCGAAGCCACCGAGAGCCCACUGACACAGUGCUAUUCCUAAGUAACAGGCUGGGGAUUCAUAACCUGAAAUCUGGUAUCAUUUACCUACGCAGACUGUUUUUUCAAACCUGGUGGUUAUCACAGAAUCACAGAAUUUCUAGGUUGGAAGAGACCUCAAGAUCAUCGAGUCCAACCUCUGACCU